AUACCCUCUUCAGGCCAACUCAGUGCUUUAAGAGGCUACCACAGAAAGGUAAUGAAGUCUCCUUAAAACCCACAGGAAAACCGGACAUUGUGAAGCAUGCCUUUAAUCCCAGCACUCAGGAGGCAGAGGC
rnacentral:snoRNA from 1 species